rnacentral:lncRNA from 1 species
UCCAGGAAACAAUAUUUAAAUCCAAGUGUAUAGACUGCUCCAGUGUUUAGAGAGAUUGUUUCUCACAGCUUAGAAAAUGAAAGUUCCAGGAAAUCCCAUCAUUCCCGAGGAUUUUGUCAGCAGAAAUUAAGUUGGCGGAGAAAUGUGAUGACUACAUAGUCCAGUUUCCACACUUCCAUUCCUGAGAGCUCUCAGUCAAGUGUCUGCUGUCAAACAGUGACUGCAGCC